GUCUCAUGGCUGGGAAGAGGACGGCACAGGAGGGCUGGGGAACCCGAAUUGCAGCCUGAAUGGCCAGUGUCCUUUCUCCAGAAUGCAGUUCUCCCUUGCUCAGAAGAAAUGAGUCUGCCAGUGGGUACAACAUGAGAUGAUACUUCCACCCCCAUUGGUGACAGCCCUCACCUAGCUAUCAAGGUACAAGAGUAAACAUGGAACGUGGGGACACCAUAUGUCCCUGACUCAUAGAGCUUGCAGGAAUCACCGUCAUUCUACGUGGCAUCUGCUUUCCUCGGCCGAGGUGGGAGGUGGGUCAAUGUAGCGGAGGAAACGUGUCUUAAAGUACAAGGCAGAGUGAACUGAAACAUAAAGAGAAGUGUGCACCUGGUAGUUGUAUCCUAAAUGACAUUUAUUUUCCAAAUGUGCUUUGUUUUGCUAGACAGUGUUCGACUUCCUUCACUCCUUCCAGGGGCCAGCAUGUGGCUGGCCACUGUCCACCCUCAGGGGUUGUGAACUGAAUUAAAGGGUUGCGUCCUUCAUCCA
rnacentral:lncRNA from 1 species